UGGGGAAGGAGGACUUCAUAUAGGUAUAGAACUGAUAUACAUUGUGAUUUUUUCAUUGGGACUUCCUAUAAGCAUGAAACUAUAAACUCCUCUUAAAGUUGGUUGUUUAUAUGUUAAGAACUUUUUAUUUUAAUAAGUUUGGAUUUUAAACUCUCUUGAUUUUUUUUAAUUUUUGCAUACUAUUUUUGAGUAUAUUUUUCUUAAAUUUUGUUAUUUAUCACUUGAUAAAAUAGGCAGAGAUGACGAACCAAAGUUGGAUGCAUCGUAGGAUU
rnacentral:lncRNA from 1 species